rnacentral:rRNA from 1 species
CCUACGGGCGGCAGCAGUAGGGAAUCUUCCACAAUGGACGAAAGUCUGCUGGAGCAACGCCGCGUGAGUGAAUAAGGGUUUCGGCUCGUAAAACUCUGUUGGUAGUUCAGAAAGAUAGAGGUAGUAACUGGCCUUUAUUUGCCGGUAAUUCCUUAGCAAUUUACGGCUAACUCCGUGCCAGCAGGCGCGGUAAUCCGUAGGUGGCAAGCGUUGUCCGGAUUUAUUUGGCGUAAAGCGAGUGCAGGCGGUUCAAUAAGUACGAGGUGAAUGCCUUAGGCGAAACCGGAGAAUGGAAUGAGAAACUGUUGAACGUGAGUGCAGAAGAGGAGAGUGGAACUCCAUGUGUAGCGGUGGAAUGCGUAGAGAUAUGGAAGAACACCAGUGGCGAAGGCGGCUCUCUGGUCUGCAACUGACGCUGAGGCUCGAAAGCAUGGGUAGCGAACAGGAUUAGAUACCCCAGUAGUC